UAUGAGAUAUGACCGAUAUUCGACGAAAUAAUAAUUCAACAUUUACUUUCACGGUUUCGAACAGCUGGAUUCCCUGAGGAAUUGGCUUUCUUUGCUGCUUGGACCACCAGAAAACUUCAUCACGAACAUAAAGACUUAGAUACUGCUUUAUAUCAGUAGUAGGACUUGAUAGACUUUGCGCAAUGCUCAUUACUAAUCCCGAAAGUAA